rnacentral:tRNA from 2 species
CAAUAUUAGUAUAAAAAGUAUAUUUACCUUCCAAGUAAAAGGUUUAAAUUUUAAAUAUUGUA